UGCCAGCCGCCGCGGUAAUACGAAGGGGGCUAGCGUUGUUCGGAAUCACUGGGCGUAAAGCGCACGUAGGCUGACUGGUCAGUUGGGGGUGAAAUCCCGGGGCUCAACCUCGGAACUGCCUUCAAUACUGCCAGUCUUGAGUCCGAGAGAGGUGAGUGGAAUUCCUAGUGUAGAGGUGAAAUUCGUAGAUAUUCGGAGGAACACCAGUGGCGAAGGCGGCUCACUGGCUCGAUACUGACGCUGAGGUACGAAAGUAUGGGUAGCGAAGAGGAUUAGAUA
rnacentral:rRNA from 1 species